rnacentral:rRNA from 1 species
GACGAACGCUGGCGGCGUGCUUAACACAUGCAAGUCGAACGGAAAGGCCCUGCUUGCCGGGUGCUCGAGUGGCGAACGGGUGAGUAACACGUGGGUGAUCUGCCCCUUACUUUGGGAUAAGCCUGGGAAACUGGGUCUAAUACUGGAUAGGACCAUGCUGUAGGUGGUGUGGUGGAAAGAUUAGUUUCGGUAAGGGAUGAGCUCGCGGCCUAUCAGCUUGUUGGUGGGGUAAUGGCCUACCAAGGCGUCGACGGGUAGCCGGCCUGAGAGGGUGGACGGCCACAUUGGGACUGAGAUACGGCCCAGACUCCUACGGGAGGCAGCAGUGGGGAAUAUUGCACAAUGGGCGCAAGCCUGAUGCAGCGACGCCGCGUGGGGGAUGACGGCCUUCGGGUUGUAAACUCCUUGCAGCCAUGACGAAGCCCUUGUGGUGACGGUAGUGGUAGAAGAAGCACCGGCUAACUACGUG